UAAACAAUUAAAUAUUUUAAUAUUUAUUGAAAGUUUGACUAUUACCAUUACAAAUGCAGAAACAUGAAGAACCCUAGUAGGUCUGAUUCCUGCAAUUUAUAGCUGGUCGAGAACAAUAGCUACCUAUGCACUGAAGAAAGAGGAAAACGAUCUUCUGGGAGAAGAGAUCUCUUGCGUGGAAGGCUGAGGGGUGCAUUAUUUGUUCACUACUUGAAGUCUAUGUUGCAAUCUCAACUACGAGCAGAUAUUCUCGUACUUGUAUGAAAGAAGGGUCAGAAAGACCUCCAAAUCUUCAGACCUUUGAUCCCCUGAUCCUUACAUAGAAGGAUGGAAGAUGAUGAGACACAGAGGAUGCUUGGAGACCCACAUUGGAGAACCGGACUGAAAUCUCAAGGUCCAAAUCAGGAGCAGAAGGAGAGAGAGCACGAACAAGGAACUCAGGACCACGAAGGGUGCUCCCACACACUGAGACAAUGGGGAGGUUCUAUCGGGAACUCACCGAGGCCAGCUGGCCUGGGUCUGAAAAAAGCCCAGGAUAAAACCAGUCUCGCUGAACAUAGCGGACAAGGAGGACUACUGAGACCUCAAGAACAAUGGCAAUGGGUUUUUGAUCCUAUUGCACAUAUUGGCUUUGUGGGAGCCUAGGCAGUUUGGUUGCUCACCUUACUAGACCUGGAUGGAGGUGGGUGGUCCUUGGACUUCCCACAGGGCAGGGAACCCUGAUUGCU